rnacentral:pre_miRNA from 1 species
UUAUAUGGAUGAGCAAAGUAAGUGGCUUCUUCAGAUGGAAUCUACUCUCGAUGAGGAUGUUGUGAA